rnacentral:rRNA from 1 species
GAGUUUGAUCCUGGCUCAGGACGAACGCUGGCGGCGUGCCUAACACAUGCAAGUCGAGCGGAGUUUAGCGGGCGGCGACUUCGGUCAAAGCCUGUUAAACUUAGCGGCGGACGGGUGAGUAACACGUAGGCAACCUGCCCAUGACACGGGGAUAGCUUCGGGAAACCGGAGGUAAUACCCGAUACCUUUACUUAUCGCAUGGUAAGUAAAGAAAGCGACUUAGCGGUCAUGGAUGGGCCUGCGUCCCAUUAGCUAGUUGGUGAGAUAACAGCCCACCAAGGCGACGAUGGGUAGCCGACCUGAGAGGGUGACCGGCCACACUGGAACUUAGACACGGUCCAGACUCCUACGGGAGGCAGCAGUGGGGAAUAUUGCGCAAUGGGCGAAAGCCUGACGCAGCGACGCCGCGUGAGCGAAGAAGGCCUUCGGGUCGUAAAGCUCAGUCAUUGGGGAUGACACGGACAGUACCCAAGGAGGAAGCCCCGGCUAACUACGUGCCAGCAGCCGCGGUAAUACGUAGGGGGCGAGCGUUGUCCGGAAUUACUGGGUGUAAAGGGCGUGUAGGCGGGGAUGCAAGUUACUGGUAAAAACCCGAGGCUCAACCACGGGCUUGCCGGUAAAACUGUAUCUCUUGAGUGUAGGAGAGGGAAGUGGAAUUCCCGGAGUAGCGGUGAAAUGCGUAGAUACCGGGAGGAACACCAGUGGCGAAGGCGGCUUCCUGGCCUACUACUGACGCUGAGGCGCGAAAGCUAGGGGAGCGAACGGGAUUAGAUACCCCGGUAGUCCUAGCCGUAAACGAUGGUCACUAGGUGUGGGUGGUGGUCAAGCCAUCCGUGCCGGAGCUAACGCAAUAAGUGACCCACCUGGGGAGUACGGCCGCAAGGUUGAAACUCAAAGGAAUUGACG